GUGUUGACACCCUCUCUAGUUUAACGGCUCUCGCACGACAGCGGGCAUCCGGUGAGCACUUCUAAAGGAAGACCGAAAAUUAUUUAUGAAGAAAAUCAUCGAAAAACAAAAGCACCGUGAUCCAGGCGCAUAAUUCUGAGCUUUAGAGGCUGGACACUCCGGCGCCAAAGGAAGAGCGGUGACCGUGGCGAUUCGACCUUCGAAGGACGCAAAAUAUUGUACUCGCCACCUCGCAUUCGUGCGCGACGUCUCUUCCUCCUCUUUCUCGCCUUCGAAGCUAUACGGUUCGCCCUGUGCCACACCAUCGCCAUCGCGCCAUUGUGGCACGUAGCGUGGCUGCUUGUAAGAUCGUACUACCGAUUAGAUUGCGUCACGUGACAAAAAUAACUCCCAUCUCUCUUCCUCCCACCGAGGAUCUGGGGAGAUAUAUUGAAAGGACGGUAUUCGCCUUGCCGCAAGAAAUCUUCUCCGUGAGGGAUCUUUUUGUCUCGAAAAUCCUCUUUUUUUCUUCAGAUUCAAUGGCAAAAUAUAGUUUAUAGUUUGUAAUUCGUAAUUGAACUAUUGGAUUGUAACAUAUUAUAUGUAUAUUCCACCCUCCUGUUUUUAUAGUGUUUUAAUUUAAUAAUAUGGGUCGUAAC